GUUACCACCAUUAGGCAUCUUUGUUCUUUCAAGUAGCCCCCUAUACUGUGCUACUUGUAUAAGCUACCCUUAUACUGUGUGGCUUGUAGGUCUUUGUGUGUGGUCUGCGUUUGAAUUCCGAGCCUGCUCGUUUUUUCUUUCUUGGUGUAAGGAGGAUAAAAUUUAAGCUAACGUUAUCUUUAUCAUAAACGCAGGUAAAACAAGAACAUAAAAACUCAAGGUCGCUAAUUUAAAGUUAAACUCGGAGAAAUGCUCUGCGAAAACACCACAAAUAGAUCCUAUUUACUUAAAAAUUAUUUAUUUAUGUAAAACUGUCUAAAUUAUGUAAUAUUGAUUCUGUGUAGUCGACAGCUUGACUUCCGGUCUGGGAACCUUUAUUUUGCAGGUUCUGUUUCUGCUCGUGCACUCCUUGUUUCGCUAACUUGUUUUCCUAAUUGUUUUCACCUGUAGCCAUAAUCACGGCUUGUGUUUAACCUUUGUGUUGCAAUUCGUGCCUCUGUAAAUGACCACCGUGCAUGUUUUGCACCCGGUCAUCCAACGGAGACGCAUUGUGGGCGUGGCUGCUGGACGCGAGCGUCUGCACACUUAGGCAAACGUACGGAGGCUGUACACGCAGGAGAACGUGUGAGCCGCUAGUAAUUAGCUAUUGCUAAGGAACAAUUGUACUCUUGGUGAGCGCAGGAGAUCCUCAAACCUAUCACACCCACUUACCAGCUGGAUCCUCCGCUUCCUCUUGCACUGCUUGUUUCAGUUGCAUUCCAAAAGACAGAACGAAAUCUACAUCAGUUCUUCUCUCAAUUCUUUGGGGAUCCACAUACUUGGCGUGUUUCUCAAAUUCCGGACAGAUUCACUAGAGGAGUGAUGACACUCAACACAUCCUAAAGAUCCAUGUGUCCAUAGGGCUGAUGAAGAGGAUAGUGGAGGUUUCAAUUUUUUUUGAAGACAAGGAGACGUUCACAGGAUGCACUACUACUGCAGCUAAAGCUUACCCACGUAUGGGCCUGUUUUAUGCCCUCAACCCUGCAUUCCUCAUAGCAUUGUGCUACACUUCUGAGCUGUUUCAGAAACCUGUCCUGGAACUGGAUGAGAUUGAAGUGUCAACAAACUUACAAGUCAAAGUUGUUGCCUAAACACCAUGGCAAAAAGUCAUAGAUGCUUUCUGCGUUUGAAAAACCAACACCCCCUGAGAACAUUUUUUUGUUAUAAACCUUAUAACAAAACAAAUUUAAAACCUGUUUGUGGUUUAAUUCAAAAGUAAUUCAUUGGUACACACAGAAGUUGUUUUGUUCAAUGUUUUAAGCAUUGAAUCUUCAAACAGUUUAGUUCUAUUUUGUAUUGUAGUUGAUUUAAAUGUUCAUGCAUUAAGAAAAAUAAAUAUGGUAAUGUAUCAAAAUAAAACUGGUAACGUCUACAUAAUUG